CUUCUGCUGGCCCUGCUGCUCUUUAGCUCCUGAGGAUUGCCUUCCUGUUUGACUGCUGCACUCUCAUUGGGUUGAGUAGAACUUCCUGUACUUGAGCCAUGUGCUCCCAGAAUGGCAACUCCUGGCCGGCUCACAGCUAUUCAGGAGCGUUCCCUCACCGACAGAAUGAAAUCCUUCAACCAGAAAGGCUCUCCAAAGGUCCUCGUAGGCUGUGUUUUGUGACUGUUUAUUCUCAGCAGCGGAGCAAGAUCCAUUUCAUGGAUGUGCCUCUUAAGGAGCAUAUUUCCCUUCUCCCUGGGAAGUGCAAUUACAAUAAUAAGCUGCAGGAGAGCAAGACCAACUUCUCAAACAGCAGGUCUUGUGAACGGCACAGCUCCUCCAUGAACCCUGGGAUGAGACCAGCGUGAGAGUGGAAAUGCCUCCUCCAUCAGACCAAGCACCUCCAGCUUCCCUACUCUGAUGUUCUGUGGUCAGCAGGGCUCAUGUCCAAGCAAGAUCCUGCAGGCAGUGAUCUAUCCCCCCCAUCAUGGACCAUGAGUGGAAGAGCUGGAGGCUGCCAGUCUGGCCUCAGUCCUCCACCCAGAGGAGCUGCUGCCACUAGAGCACCACAGCAGGAAUUUGAUGCUGUCUGAGAUCCUUGGAUGGCUGCGCUUUGGUUUAGCCUAGCAGGAGCCUCUCAGGGAAACAAGGAGAUAAACCACCACAAUAACAAUACUUCAGAGCUCUUAGAUGUGAAGAUUUUACCUUUUAUCUCCAUCCAAGUUAAAAAUAUUUUUGUUUUGCUGUCAGAUGAAGGGACCAUCAGCCCUUCCCAGGGGCUGAGGGCAGCUGGGAUGAGCUGGAUGCUCCAUGGCACAGCCCAGCUCUGCUGUGGGUCUCUUCUGACUGGAGGAGAGCGAUGUGGUUGGCUUUCAACUCUCUGAUGAUGAUGGAGAUGCCACCACAUCCCUCAGUGAAUUGUGUGAGCAGCUAACUACCCUCACAAUGAGCACUACAGGGUAUGCUUCUGGGUGAAAUUUCCAGCUCUGGUCUCCUCUGGACUUGUUAGAUGAAGCAGGCUUUCCCCAUCCCAUGUCAGCUGCCCACGCAGGUUUUUGUGGGCUGGACUGGAGCAAUCCAAAGCCUCUAAGGGUUCAGAGUUUUGUGCCUCUGUGUAAUUUCUUGUCUUGUCUAGCAUGCUCUUUUGCUCUACAGCCUCCCUUUGGAGGCCAGGCAGCAGCAGUAAGGUCCCAGGACUGCCUCCUGUUCUCCCCCUGCCCUGGGGUGGCAGUAGCCCUUUCAGCACGUGUGACAUGAGCUCAAGUUUAGCAUUUUGAUGCCAAAUUCAGCUGUGCCACAAAUGUUUCCUCUGAGGCUUCUGCAGAAGUGUCUGCCAAAGCAAAUUCCCAAAAUGUCUAUGGAUGAGUAUUUCUUGGAGCGUGUGAUUCAGAGAAGGAUACACAGAAAGACUUGAAGGAAACCUGGACUUGUCUAGAGCUGGUUUUAAUCCCUCCUCAGCACUCUGCUGCCUGCAUCCAGGAAUAUUAUUCAUGAGGCUUGAAGUAGUGCUUAAAAAGAAAGGUUGGCCAGAUUAAUUUUCUGAGCAUAGUGGCUGUCAUUAUUUCAUUUCUCUCUAUCAGCUUACUCAUUAUCUUGUAUUACCUGACUUACCUUUUUUAAGUGACCUCUCUAGAGUGUCCUGACAGAGCCUUGUCCCCAUCAUGUGGCAAACUGCAAUGUAUCUGGAGAAGUAGCUGCCAGUGACUCAUGAGUCCUUCAGCUCCCCCAGAACUCCUGCAUUUGAUUAACUCAAACUUGUUGCUGAAAUGAGCUGCUGAGAAGCCUCACUUCGUGCAGGGCAAAGCAGUGGAUGGCUGCACAUUGUCAUGCUGAUUUGGUGCCUGCUUCCAUGCCCAUUGAAGGAGAUGGACCAGACAGUCAAUGCAUCAUAAUUGUGCAGGGCUUUGUGUGCAUCCUCAUCCUGACUCCCAUUUUCUGUUGGGAUGGAGCAUUGCUGUGGUGUGAGAAGCCAGCAGGCAGCUGCUCCAAGCACCCAGAUGCCCUGAGAAGGGAGGAGCAGCAGCCGUGUUCUCAGCUGGUCCAGCUGGGUAAGGCAGUGUGUUAGGCAGGGCAUUUCUCUCCUGGCAAGGAGGAGCUGUGCAGUGCCCUGGGGAGAAGGUCAGGAAGAGGCUGUCACCCUGCUAUAAGGUGGCAGCAAUAGUCACUGGGAGGUUGUCAGCCCUCGUCAGGUUUUAACUUCCUCACCUGUGACCUGGCCCAAAGCACACCCACUGCAAGGGGAGUGCAAGGAGCGAGUUGUUGCUCGUGGGAUGGCUGCACUCCUCCACCAGACAUGUAGCCCUGCUUCUCCCCUGCUCUUGCUCUGCUUGUCCUUGGCUUCUUUCCAACCUGAUUGUCCUCCCUGAUGCAGAUUUGCGCAGGCACAGCUGCCCCAUGGGCAAGGGGUCCAUCACCACCUCAUGCUCUUGCCUGCUGCUGGGUGAGCACAGUCCCAGCUGUAUCUGUCCUCUGCCAUGGCACCCUGUGCUGCAAACCCUGCUGCUGUUCUUCCAUCUCCUCAGCUUUGCUGCCUGUCCAGUUCUGCUAUUGCUGAGCACUAGCAGAUCACACCUGAGAUGAGCUCUGGUCUGGUUGUUGUUUUCCCACUCCCCGUGGUGGGACCAGUGGGCUGGUUUCAACCCCUCUGGGCUUGGUGUGAGCUACUGGCCCAUCUCCUGUUGGAAAAGGACCAACCACCCAUCCCAUGUCCAGCUUUCCUCUGGGUUUCAGCCACAGGAGACACACAACUCCUCAGGCUGGCUGCCUGCUGGGGAAUCUGGUUCCCAGCAUCUUCCCCCUCCCUAACAUCUCUGUUUUGUCUGAUGCAGGCUCUGCUCAGCCUCAUGCCUGCACCCCACAGAGACCUUGCCUAGUUCAGCCUUUGGGAAGAUGCCCCAUGACAGGCCCCCAGUGACUCCUGAACCCAUACUGCCUUUUGUGACAGCCUCUUCUCUCAGGUGUUCAUGUAGUACUCAGCCUCCCUUUCACAGUCUCCUCUGCCUCCUCACUGCAGACAGGGUUGUUUUGGAACAUGGCUAGUGGGUAGUAGCUCAGGAUGGCACCGUGUGCAGGCUUGGGCAGCUCCUCAGCUCAGGGGUAUCACCUUGGCAAACCUCAACCCUCCCCUGUGCUCUGCACAGUACCAGGAGAAGUUCUGCUAGCAUUUGGCUCUCCCUAAAGAUUAGCAGUGGUCCUUCCAUCACCUUCCAGUUGAGGAGGUGAAAACAAGGAGGAAAAGCUCCUUACCAGUGCUGAUGGCUCCAGGUGGACCCUCCAGGAGGUUUUAAACCCUGCAAGGAGCAAUGAGGGGAGCCCUGCCAUGUCAGGAACAGUGGCAGAAGGUGGCUGCCAUGCCCAGGGAGGAGGGGUGAGCAGAGACGGCCCUUUUGGAGGCCUGACUUCAUCCCCUGAGGGCUCCCAGCCUUUUUUCCACUGCCGUUUUCUAGGCUUAGAAACGCCUGAGGAGGGAAACCCGGGGUGUCAGGUGAAGCUGUUCCGUGCCCCGCGUGGAUGAGCAGCAGAUCCAUCCUGCGGAUGCGUGGCACCGGCACCUGGCUGCGGCAGCAGAGGCUCCUCCAGCCCUGGAUGUGGCUGUGGUGGCUAACCCCCUCCUCUGUGCACCCCCAGCAGCCCCCUGGGGGGCUGCUGUGUUUGCUGCCCAGUCUGGGAGCUCCUGGGCACUGGCCCAUAGCUGGAAGGGAAAAGAAUUGCGUUCUCUGCUCUCCGCUCCCCGCAGAGCUGGACCCCUGCAGCUGGCUGAGGAGCUGCUCCAGCCUGGAGUCACUGCGGGGGGGAAGGGGCUGUUGGGCAGCAGGACUCUGGCUCGGUGAAGGUCUGAGGGAACAAGAGCUGCAGAGCAGAGUACUUGUGCUGUAUUUUGGUGGUGAUUGUCCUGGCUGCUGCAGGCGUCCGCGGGAGUCCAUCCCUGUGUCUUUAAAAUCCAGCCAAAGGCUUUUCCCCAGGAAUGUUGCUUCAGGUCUCUGCCAACCUGGAGCAGGCAGCAUUUUGGUUUCGUGUUGUGACCCUGGAAAGGUGGAGGAGACCUGGCUGGGGCAUGUUGUGCAAUAUGCCUGCCCAGCCCAGUCUGGGAACAAGGGAGGAUUGGGGCUUGUCACGGCAUGGGAAGGGUUUGGAGACGCCCACCAACCCCCUCCCAGGAGCUUCCAAAACAAGGAGCAGUUCUUUCAGACGUUUCUGUGGGGAAUUCUCUG